rnacentral:rRNA from 1 species
GACGAACGCUGGCGGCGUGCUUAACACAUGCAAGUCGAACGAUGAAGCCUAGCUUGCUAGGUGGAUUAGUGGCGAACGGGUGAGUAAUACGUGAGUAACCUACCUUUAACUCUGGGAUAAGCCUGGGAAACUGGGUCUAAUACCGGAUACGACCAAUCUCCGCAUGAGGUGUUGGUGGAAAGCGUUAUGUAGUGGUUAUAGAUGGGCUCACGGCCUAUCAGCUUGUUGGUGAGGUAACGGCUCACCAAGGCGACGACGGGUAGCCGGCCUGAGAGGGUGACCGGCCACACUGGGACUGAGACACGGCCCAGACUCCUACGGGAGGCAGCAGUGGGGAAUAUUGCACAAUGGGCGCAAGCCUGAUGCAGCGACGCCGCGUGAGGGAUGACGGCCUUCGGGUUGUAAACCUCUGUUAGCAGGGAAGAAGAGAAAUUGACGGUACCUGCAGAGAAAGCGCCGGCUAACUACGUG